GUUUGAUCCUGGCUCAGGAUGAACGCUGGCGGCGUGCCUAACACAUGCAAGUCGAACGAUAGAUUUCGGUCUAGAGUGGCGCACGGGUGAGUAACACGUAGCUGACCUGCCCUGGAGUGUGGGAUAACGCUACGAAAGUGGCGCUAAUACCGCAUAAGCUCACGGUGAUUAAAAGGCUGUGAGAAAAGCGUUAGCGCUCUGGGAUGGGGCUGCGGGCUAUCAGCUAGUUGGUGAGGUAACGGCUCACCAAGGCGACGACGGCUAGGGGGCCUGAGAGGGUGACCCCCCANACUGGAACUGAGACACGGUCCAGACUCCUACGGGAGGCAGCAGUGAGGAAUAUUGCACAAUGGGCGCAAGCCUGAUGCAGCGACGCCGCGUGGGUGAUGAAGGCUUUCGGGUCGUAAAACCCUUUUCUGUGUGACGAGCAAGGACGGUAGCACAGGAAUAAGCCUCGGCUAACUACGUGCCAGCAGCCGCGGUAAAACGUAGGAGGCGAGCGUUAUCCGGAGUUACUGGGCGUAAAGCGCGUGUAGGUGGCUGGUUACGUCUGCUGUGAAAUGUCCCGGCUUAACCGGGACUAGGCGGUAGAUACGGACUGGCUAGAGGGUGACAGAGGAGCGUAGAAUUCCGGGUGUAGUGGUGAAAUGCGUAGAGAUCCGGAGGAAUACCAGUGGCGCAAGCGGCGCUCUGGGUCGAGCCUGACACUGAGACGCGAAGGCAUGGGGAGCGAACGGGAUUAGAAACCCCGGUAGUCCAUGCAGUAAACGAUGCAGACUGGGUGUGGGUAGCGCAAGCUAUCUGUGCCGAAGCCAACGCGCUAAGUCUGCCGCCUGGGAAGUACGGUCGCAAGACUAAAACUCAAAGGAAUUGAC
rnacentral:rRNA from 1 species